rnacentral:rRNA from 1 species
GACGAACGCUGGCGGCGUGCUUAACACAUGCAAGUCGAACGGUGAAGCGCCUUCCUUUUUGGUGGGUGUGGAUGAGUGGCGAACGGGUGAGUAACACGUGAGUAACCUGCCCCCUUCUUCUGGAUAACCGCAUGAAAGUGUGGCUAAUACGGGAUAUUCUGGGUCUGUCGCAUGAUGGGUCUGGGAAAGAUAUUGUUUCGGUGGGGGAUGGGCUCGCGGCCUAUCAGCUUGUUGGUGGGGUGAUGGCCUACCAAGGCGGUGACGGGUAGCCGGCCUGGGAGGGUGGACGGUCACACUGGGACUGAGACACGGCCCAGACUCCUACGGGAGGCAGCAGGGGGGAAUAUUGCACAAUGGGCGCAAGCCUGAUGCAGCGACGCCGCGUGAAGGAUGGAGGCCUUCGGGUUGUGAACCUCUUUCGCCAGUGAAGCAGGCCUGCCUCGUUUGUGGGUGGGUUGACGGUAGCUGGAUAAGAAGCGCCGGCUAACUACGUG